rnacentral:rRNA from 1 species
AUUGAACGCUGGCGGCAGGCCUAACACAUGCAAGUCGAGCGGAGCGGCGGACGGGUGAGUAAUGCCUGGGAAUCUGCCUGGUAGUGGGGGAUAACGUCCGGAAACGGGCGCUAAUACCGCAUACUAUCAGAUGAGCCUAGGUCGGAUUAGCUAGUUGGUGGGGUAAAGGCCUACCAAGGCGACGAUCCGUAACUGGUCUGAGAGGAUGAUCAGUCACACUGGAACUGAGACACGGUCCAGACUCCUACGGGAGGCAGCAGUGGGGAAUUUUGCACAAUGGGCGCAAGCCUGAUGCAGCGACGCCGCGUGAGGGAUGACGGCCUUCGGGUUGUAAACCUUUUUCGCUCAUGGUCGGGUAGUGGGUAAAGAAGCGCCGGCUAACUACGUGCCAGCAGCCGCGGUAAUUC